rnacentral:rRNA from 1 species
CAUAACGUCGCAAGACCAAAGGAGGGGGACCUUCGGGCCUCUUGCCAUCGGAUGUGCCCAGAUGGGAUUAGCUAGUAGGUGGGGUAACGGCUCACCUAGGCGACGAUCCCUAGCUGGUCUGAGAGGAUGACCAGCCACACUGGAACUGAGACACGGUCCAGACUCCUACGGGAGGCAGCAGUGGGGAAUAUUGCACAAUGGGCGCAAGCCUGAUGCAGCCAUGCCGCGUGUAUGAAGAAGGCCUUCGGGUUGUAAAGUACUUUCAGCGGGGAGGAAGGGAGUAAAGUUAAUACCUUUGCUCAUUGACGUUACCCGCAGAAGAAGCACCGGCUAACUCCGUGCCAGCAGCCGCGGUAGUACGGAGGGUGCAAGCGUUAAUCGGAAUUACUGGGCGUAAAGCGCACGCAGGCGGUUUGUUAAGUCAGAUGUGAAAUCCCCGGGCUCAACCUGGGAACUGCAUCUGAUACUGGCAAGCUUGAGUCUCGUAGAGGGGGGUAGAAUUCCAGGUGUAGCGGUGAAAUGCGUAGAGAUCUGGAGGAAUACCGGUGGCGAAGGCGGCCCCCUGGACGAAGACUGACGCUCAGGUGCGAAAGCGUGGGGAGCAAACAGGAUUAGAUACCCUGGUAGUCCACGCCGUAAACGAUGUCGACUUGGAGGUUGUGCCCUUGAGGCGUGGCUUCCGGAGCUAACGCGUUAAGUCGACCGCCUGGGGAGUACGGCCGCAAGGUUAAAACUCAAAUGAAUUGACGGGGGCCCGCACAAGCGGUGGAGCAUGUGGUUUAAUUCGAUGCAACGCGAAGAACCUUACCUGGUCUUGACAUCCACGGAAGUUUUCAGAGAUGAGAAUGUGCCUUCGGGAACCGUGAGACACGUGCUGCAUGGCUGUCGUCAGCUCGUGUUGUGAAAUGUUGGGUUAAGUCCCGCAACGAGCGCAACCCUUAUCCUUUGUUGCCAGCGGUCCGGCCGGGAACUCAAAGGAGACUGCCAGUGAUAAACUGGAGGAAGGUGGGGAUGACGUCAAGUCAUCAUGGCCCUUACGACCAGGGCUACACACGUGCUACAAUGGCGCAUACAAAGAGAAGCGACCUCGCGAGAGCAAGCGGACCUCAUAAAGUGCGUCGUAGUCCGGAUUGGAGUCUGCAACUCGACUCCAUGAAGUCGGAAUAGAUAGUAAUCGUGGAUCAGAAUGCCACGGUGAAUACGUUCCCGGGCCUCGUACACAGCGUCCGUCCCUCCAAAGAAAGUGGUACAGGGGACCCCCUAGAGUUUGGAUCCUGGCUCAGAUGCACACCCCU